rnacentral:rRNA from 1 species
GCCUGUGGCCAUGUCACCCUGAACAAGCCUGAUCCUGUCUGAUCUCGGAAGCUAAGCAGGUUCGAGCCUGGUUAGUACUUGGAUGGGAGACCACCUAGGAAUACUAGGUGCCAUAGGCA